rnacentral:rRNA from 1 species
UGAGGAAUAUUGGUCAAUGGGCGAGAGCCUGAACCAGCCAAGUAGCGUGCAGGAUGACGGACCUAUGGGUUGUAAACUGCUUUUAUGUGGGGAUAAAGUGCGUGACGUGUCAUGCAUUGCAGGUACCACAUGAAUAAGGACCGGCUAAUUCCGUGCCAGCAGCCGCGGUAAUACGGAAGGUCCGGGCGUUAUCCGGAUUUAUUGGGUUUAAAGGGAGCGUAGGCUGUCUAUUAAGCGUGUUGUGAAAUUUACCGGCUCAACCGGUGGCUUGCAGCGCGAACUGGUCGACUUUAGUAGGCAGGAAGUAGGCCGAAUUCAUGGUGUAGCGGUGAAAUGCUUAGAUAACAUGACGAACUCCUAUUGCGCAGGCAGCUUACUGUAGCAUAACUGACGCUGAUGAUCGAAAGUGCGGGUAUCAAACAGG